AACGAACGCUGGCGGCAGGCUUAACACAUGCAAGUCGAACGCAUCCUUCGGGGUGAGUGGCAGACGGGUGAGUAACGCGUGGGAACGUGCCCUUCAGUUCGGGAUAACCCAGGGAAACUUGGGCUAAUACCGGAUACGUGCGAGAGCAGAAAGAUUUAUCGCUGAAGGAUCGGCCCGCGUCUGAUUAGCUAGUUGGUGGGGUAAUGGCCCACCAAGGCGACGAUCAGUAGCUGGUCUGAGAGGAUGAUCAGCCACAUUGGGACUGAGACACGGACAAACCUCCAGCGGGAGGCAGCAGGGGGGAAUAUUGGACCAUGGGCGAAAGCCUGAUCCAGCCAUGCCGCGUGAGUGAUGAAGGCCUUAGGGUUGUAAACCUCUUUCGUCCGGGACGAUAAUGACGGUACCGGAAGAAGAAGCCCCGGCUAACUUCGUGCCAGCCGCCGCCGUAA
rnacentral:rRNA from 1 species